ensembl:lncRNA
GCAGAAAGAGGGACCCAAGGCCUUUACUGCCACCCCACAGCCCCUGCAAAGCCACACACACCCUGGCAGGAGCCACAAGGGUAGCUGCACAAGGCCAUCGCCACAGAGGCUGCCAGACUUAAAGUGCUUCUGAGGAGUGUAGUGUGGCCGUCAGCCAAUGAAAACUUAGGAUGCGCUCACCACCAGCAGCCAAUCCCAGUGAAGGAUGAGCCGAACUGCCAGGCCUAAUUGCAUCUUGAUUGGUUGUGAUGUUGCUAGGCAGAAAUGAGGUCCCGGAGAUCGCUGCGGGCAAGACCGGAGAGACAGGUGGAUAUGAGAAUAUCUGGAAACAUAGACUCUUGGAUUGUCAUUUUUCUUCCUGAGCUCCUUCAUUCUUAAAGGAUUAAUGGGGUCAGGGGAAUCACUCUUCCUUUUCUCCUCCACAGUGGGACAGAGCCAAAUAGUUACCGUUUCCCCAAAACGCCUUCAGAGAAAUCUGGCUGCCUCGAAGGUGUUCUAAUCCAAAAAAAAAAAAAUAUCCCCCGGAGGUAUUCCAGCCUCAUACUCAGUCUCCCCAUUUAGGAAGUCCUUUCUGAGGCCUCCCUUCAAGCCUCCUGGCUGUAGUUUAUGAACCAUUUUCUCUAACAU